CAGCCGUAAACAAUGUGCGUUAGGUGUGUCGGUAACCACGCGUUACUGAUGCGCCGAAGAGAAAUCGUGAAGCGCACCACCUGGGAAGUACGGUCGCAAGGCUGAAACUUAAAGGAAUUGGCGGGGGAGCACCACAACAGGUGGAGCCUGCGGUUUAAUUGGAUUCAACGCCGGACAUCUCACCGGAUAAGACAGCUGAAUGAUUGUCAAUCUGAAGGUUUUACAUGACUAGCUGAGAGGAGGUGCAUGGCGUCAGUGACU
rnacentral:rRNA from 1 species